ACACGAUCGAACAUACAAGAUGGCAGCCCAUUAAAGAGUUCAUAUAUGCGUGUAGUUGUUUUGUGCAGUGCUUGUGUAGUUUUAUUCUUAACAAUAAUUUAACAACUUUAAUCAUGGGUUCGUCAGAUCUAGAAUGUUUAGAUGGUAAGAGAGACAUUGUUAGUAUAGAUUCGGAAUCUGAUAUGUUGAAUGACCAAAGAAAAAAGAAAAAGAGAAAACAUAAGCACCACAAGCAUAAGAAGGACAAAUUACUUGAAAGAGAAGAUGGAAAAAUUGAAAGACAGGACAGGCAUAAGAAGCAUAAACGACCUAAAAAGGAAAGGGAAGUUGAAAACGGUUCGUUGGAUGACAAAUCAUCUCGUGCUAUUCAAAAGGAUGUCGGUAUAAACGGCAAAAUGAAGAAUUCCUUACUGGAAGUUGUUUCUACGGAGGAAAGCGAAGAUGAAAAGUUAAUAGAUUUAGAUUCGGAUGAGGUAGACUGCACAAUUAUCGAAGAUGAUAUAGAUCUUGAAGAAUUAAUGAAACAAAAGGAACGGUUACAAGCAUGUUUAGUACAAUAUCUCUCAGAUGAAUCUGAGAAAGACGAUAAAGAAGCCGAUCAAGAGGAAGUAAAGACUACUGAAACACCGGAUGUUAUACUUGUGGAGGAUGACAGUGAUAAUGACAAUGUACCCCCCAAAAAACGAGCUAGGAGUAAAUCUGGUAGCAGGGAACGGAAAAAGAUAACAAAACCUGAAAGGCGUGUUGUUGUAGAUAUGAGCAGGGAUCGUAGAAGUCGGGAGGAACAUAAAGAUAAACGGCGAGACUCUGAUAGACGCAGAGACGAAAAGGUACGUACAAAAGAAGAAUUGAGGAGAGAUGAGAGCAGAAGGGACGAUAGACAAACACGAAAGAUAAGUGAUAGACACAGGGAAGAGUCCCGUAAGGAGGACAAUAAUAGACGAUCGGAAGAUAAUAAGCGUAAAGAAACUAUCAAAAAGGACGAGUCGCGUAAAAGGGAACAAGACAGACGGGAAGAGGAACGACGGAGAGAAACGGAUCAUCACAAUUCCAGAUCGCGUAACGAUUAUAAAUCGUUGGAAAACCGAGAACGACAAAGCAGUCGAGAUCGUCACGUCAGUCGAGAUCGACACGUGAGUAAGGAUAGACACGUUAGCCGCGAUCGUCAUGUAAGUCGUGAUCGACAUGUUAGCAGAGAUCGUCAUGCUAGUCGGGAUCGUCACGCCAGUAGAGAUCGUCCAAGCAGCCGUGAUCGUCGCAGUCGAGAGAGACCUUCCAGCAGAGACAGACAUAGUCGUGAUAAAAGAGAUAGCAGAGAGCGUCAUGCGAGUCGUGACCGACACAGGGAAAGUCGAAAUAGUCGUGACCGUAAUGACAUACGGGACAAUCGAAACCGCGAGAGGAUUAGAGAGCGGUCAAGAAGUACUAGAAGAUCUCGCAGCCCUGUUAGAGGUAGACUGGACAGGGAACGUAACGAUCGGUACAAGAACUCCAGAUCAGUAUCCAGAAGUAGAAGGGACAGAGAAAAGCAUGCCAGAGAGCAUGAUAGGGACAGGGAGAAGAACGGUAAAAGAGAACGCAACGACAAGUACAAAGACUCUUUGUCGGAGGGACUAAAAGUGGAGCAUUCGGAUAGUUCUAGCGAAGAGGAUAUCAAAGAUAUUGAUAUUGAAGAAGAAGAGGACGAGGAAGCGAUUAUAGAACGUAGGCGAAAACAGAGGGAAGAACUUCUCAAAAGGUUAGGCGGACCAAACGAAGACUCCAAUAUGUCUGCCGAUAUAAACACUGUCCCAGCUACUCCGCCGUCAGAGAGUCAAUCAAACGUAUCGCAAAAGUCGUUAGAGAUUCCAUCGAACAAUAAUGAAUCCACUUCAGAAAGUCAUACUCCACCACUGCCUGAAAAGCCAAAGUCGCCGCAAACGGUUAAAAAAAGAAAAUCCAGAUUCGACGAUACACCAUCAGAAGACAUCGAAAAGAACGACGACACAAAAUCCAUUGAGAAACUCAAACCAGAGGAGAACGCGAAGAAACCAAACGAAUGGGAUAUGUUCGCUGAAGCGGAUAAUAUCGGCGAUUUUAGCAGUCCUACCGUCGAAGGAAAACGACAAGGUGGGCCAGAUAACCCGAGUUUAACAGACAACUGGGACGAUGCAGAAGGCUAUUAUCGAGUACGAGUCGGUGAAACAUUAGAUUCCCGAUACGUUGUCUAUGGAUAUACAGGACAAGGUGUAUUUAGUAAUGUUGUCAGGGCUAGAGACAGUGCUAGAGGCAACUUGGAUGUUGCUGUAAAAAUAAUAAGGAAUAAUGUAUUAAUGCAUAAAACUGGCCUUAAGGAAUUAGAAAUUCUUAGAAAACUUAAUGAUGCAGAUCCGGAAGAUAGAUUCCAUUGUUUACGACUUUUUAGGCACUUCUUUCACAAAAAUCAUUUAUGUAUGGUUUUUGAACCUUUAGCCAUGAAUUUAAGAGAGGUAUUGAAAAAGUAUGGCAAAGACGUUGGUUUACACGUUAAAGCGGUAAGAUCGUAUACGCAGCAACUUUUCCUUGCUCUCAAGUUAUUAAAACGUGCAAACAUUCUUCAUGCUGACAUCAAACCGGAUAACAUUCUAGUCAGUGAAAGCAAACUAGUAUUGAAACUCUGCGAUUUCGGCUCUGCAUCCCAUGCACACGAGAACGAUAUGACACCGUAUUUGGUGUCAAGGUUUUAUCGAGCACCUGAAAUUAUUCUUGGUAUACCAUAUGAUUUCGGAAUUGACAUGUGGUCGGUUGGAUGCACCAUAUAUGAAUUGUACACGGGCAAAAUAAUGUUCUCGGGUAAAACGAACAACCAAAUGUUGAAAUUCUUCAUGGACCUGAAGGGAAAAAUGCCCAAUAAACUGAUUAGGAAGGGCACGUUCAAGAACCAACAUUUUGACACUAACUGCAAUUUCCUGUAUCAUGAAGUUGAUAAGGUUACGGAGCGGGAAAAAGUUGCAGUCAUGUCAACGUUGCCUGCUACGCGCGACCUUGGCGCAGAGCUGGGUGGGAAUUCUUUACCACCGGAGCAAAGUAGAAAAGUUGGACAGCUGAAGGACCUGUUGGAACGAACAUUGAUGCUGGAUGCCGGAAAGAGAAUUACUGUGAACCACGCUCUGGCACAUCCCUUUAUACAAGAAAAGAUCUAGGUAACCCUGUCCGGGGUCCAUCCACAACGGAGAAUUCAUUGACGUAAAUUUACAAAACCUGUUUGAAAUGACACCGCUUACGAUUCGUUGUAUAUUAUAAAACAAACUAACAUAAGGCGGUGUCCCUUUAUAUAGAAUGUGUCUUGUAUUCGUUUUAGCAGAAAGAGGCGGUGCAAAAUUUCACGAUUCACUCUAAACUCCCGUCUAACCGAUACAGAGAGAAACAUUUGAAGAGAAACAUAAUAUAUAUAUGAAUAUAUAAUCAUACACAAGGGAAAGAAAAAAUUACUUGAAAUCACACAUACAUAUGACGUUGUACUCUAUCAAUCUGAGCUGUAUUAUUUAAUGAUUGAUAACUAUUGCAGGUCAAUAGAGUGCAAUAUUUUUAUAUUAAAGUUAGAACCACUGCAAAACGACGAAUAAAAAUGUUGGAGAAUUCACAGAUGUAUCACACGCAACGCAUAAUAUGGAUCGGUACAAUAUAGUGUAUCAGGGCGUAGUAAAUUCGCAGUAAAUUCUUCUUUUUCUUUAAAACUCGAGUUGUUUUGCUUAGAUAUAGUUUAUUUCUUUUUCUCUGUGCACAGCACCUAUAAAGUAAAUAAAACAACGAUGCUACACACUAAGAAGAAGAGGCAUGCAGAAUUUCGUACGUGGUAAUCGUGUUCUCUUCCGUGGACGAUAUGAACUGGGAAAAAGUGACCGCCUCUUUCAGCACUGGCCAUCGAUACUUAGCAUAAUGGUGAUGAGUCUUCGAUUCAAAGCAUCGUUAAGUGCGAGCGGACCUAUGCGGGCUUUUAACGCCGAUCCCGUUGCAAGCCCUCCCCGUAAGGAGGGGAGGCAAUGGAAGAGAUGAUGAGAUCAGUUGGUGGAAAGCACUGAUGACAAAGGAUAUGGGGUAGGAUCCUCGCAGCGGCUGCUUCGCUUCUUGUGUGUAAAAUGACGACACUGUCACAACAGGGAUCAGCAAAUGUUUAAUUAAAUUUGUAACAGCAGGAAGGUUUGUCUUAAUGUUUCGAUUGAGAUUUAUGAAAACCGUAAGUAUGUGAACAGGUAAGGUACAUGUCUGUGAGAAUUCUAAAUUAUCAUAUAAUGAAUUAUAUGUAGAAAUGAUCUAAAUGCCGCGUAUGUACAUAGAUAUGUAUAUACUCAACUACAGGUAACAUUGAAGAGAACGUAAUACUAAUAUCUUUGGCCUUCAGUUUUCAGAUGACUAUAAGCAAAAAAAAAAUCUUUGAAAAUAGUUUUAAUGCGAAUAGACAAGUUUUACAUGUGAAAAAGUACUAUAACGAUCGCCGUAAUAAAUUAUACGUAUACAUAAUGGGAUAAAUAAAUUUAUUUCACGCUGUACCUUGAUACAGUACUUUACAUCUAGCAAUAAAGAAAUUACAUUUUUGUAGACCGCACACGAUCCCUGCCGUCGAUGCAAAACAUUGUUGAGCAUCUUUAUUAUCAUAUAUAUAUAUACAUAUGAUAAUUUGUGUUAAAUUUAGAUUUAUUCAUACAUAUAUCUCUUAAAGAUAUUGUUAUCCCUGUCUUAAACGUUUAUGUAAGAAAUUCAAAUAUAAGUACGCUCUUUAAACAUUUA